rnacentral:rRNA from 1 species
AACGAACGCUGGCGGCAGGCUUAACACAUGCAAGUCGAACGAUGUAGCAAUACAUAGUGGCGCACGGGUGAGUAACGCGUGGGAAUAUACCUUAUAGUGGGGAAUAACUUUGGGAAACUAAAGCUAAUACCGCAUACGCCCGAGAGGGGAAAGAUUUAUCGCUAUAAGAUUAGCCCGCGUGAGAUUAGGUAGUUGGUGGGGUAAUGGCCUACCAAGCCUACGAUCUCUAGCUGGUCUGAGAGGAUGAUCAGCCACACUGGAACUGAGACACGGUCCAGACUCCUACGGGAGGCAGCAGUGGGGAAUAUUGGGCAAUGGACGCAAGUCUGAUCCAGCCAUUCCGCGUGCAGGAUGAAGGCCCUCGGGUUGUAAACUGCUUUUGUACGGAACGAAAGGUUUCUCUUAAUACGAGGAGCUCAUGACGGUACCGUAAG